rnacentral:rRNA from 1 species
GACGAACGCUGGCGGCAUGCCUUACACAUGCAAGUCGAACGGUAACAGGUCUUCGGAUGCUGACGAGUGGCGAACGGGUGAGUAAUACAUCGGAACGUGCCCGAGAGUGGGGGAUAACGAAGCGAAAGCUUUGAUAAUACCGCAUACGAUCUCAGGAUGAAAGCAGGGGACCGCCAGGCCUUGCGCUCAGGGAGCGGCCGAGGGCAGAUUAGGGAGUUGGUGGGAUAAAAGCUUACCAAGCCGAUGAUCUGUAGCUGGUCUGAGAGGACGACCAGCCACACUGGGACUGAGACACGGCCCAGACUCCUACGGGAGGCAGCAGUGGGGAAUUUUGGACAAUGGGCGCAAGCCUGAUCCAGCCAUGCCGCGUGCAGGAUGAAGGCCUUCGGGUUGUAAACUGCUUUUGUACGGAACGAAAAGACUCUGGUUAAUACCUGGGGUCCAUGACGGUACCGUAAGAAUAAGCACCGGCUAACUACGUGCCAGCAGCCGCCGUAACAC